rnacentral:rRNA from 1 species
AACGAACGCUGGCGGCAUGCCUAACACAUGCAAGUCGAACGAGACCUUCGGGUCUAGUGGCGCACGGGUGCGUAACGCGUGGGAACCUGCCCUUAGGUUCGGAAUAACUCCCCGAAAGGGGUGCUAAUACCGGAUAAUGUCUUCGGACCAAAGAUUUAUCGCCUUUGGAUGGGCCCGCGUUGGAUUAGCUAGUUGGUAGGGUAAAAGCCUACCAAGGCGACGAUCCAUAGCUGGUCUGAGAGGAGGAUCAGCCACACUGGGACUGAGACACGGCCCAGACUCUUACGGGAGGAAGCAGGGGGGAAUAUUGGAAAAGGGGCGAAAGCCUGAUCCAGCAAGGCCGGGGGAGUGAUGAAGGCCUUAGGGUGGUAAAGCUCUUUUACCCGGGAUGAUAAGGACAGUACCGGGAGAAUAAGCCCCGGCAAACCCCGG